AAUACGCCAAAAAUCUGAAAAGGAGCGCAGAGACUAAACGACCCACGUGUAACUUCAUCUUCCUCAUCGCACCCCACCUCAAAAACACCAACAGCGGUCUCCUCUCAACACACCCAUCAACGGCCUCAUCUUCACACCAAAUCAGACCCUCCAUCCAUUUUGAUUCUUCAUCAGCUUCCUAACCAAAAAGAAAAUGACCAGCACCUUAGAAGAUCUAGCGACAACCAUGGCUGAGCAACUCCGGCGAAUCACCAAACAAUAAUCAAUAAUCAAACUCCGACGUUGUGAUGUCCAAAAUUGUCGUCCAAGCUCAGUCAAAUUGAAUCUGACAAGAAAUCUGGCAAGUUUCGAGGUCUGGUCGUAAUUCUGUCGAGGUUUGAGCCUAGUGCCGAUUAAAGUUUCGACCGUAGUUCCAGUUGCGGCUAACGAUCUCGGAUCCAAUUUCUGUACGAAUUUGCAAUUUUAGAGUUGUAACUCUACUGCUCGUUGCACUGAAUUAAGUAUAGUUUCUCAUUGGUUUUCUCCGUCAAUUUAGCCAUUGCAAGGUAUUCCCUAACUCCCGAUUUCGUUUCCUAUAUAGAUUUAGUAAAUCAUGUCUGUUCGACAAUGAUCGUCACUAGAAUAAAACUAUCUAUUCUUCACGGUUAAAUAAAAUUGGUGUCACGGUUGAAUUCCAUAUUUGUCAUGGCUGAUUUAUUUCUAUUGUGAUUUCACUUGAUUCUCAAAGGUGAAUUAGUGGUAGUCAUCCUAUCUUCUGUUUAAUAGAAUUACGCCUAUAUUUCUUGUUGAUUGAAGAGGUUUAAUUGACUGUGCCAAUAUCUCGAGUUUACAGAUCUUUGUCAAUAGUUGAAUAGAUUUAUAAACAUUGAGUUCAAAGGUGAAGCUCUAGAUUAUUUGUGGUUUAUUGUUAAAUGAUUGUGUAUGGAAACAAAACUUAUACAGUUGCUUAAGGAUUACAGUGAGCAUCGGUUCUGUUGUAAUUUGGGCCAUUGAUUAAGUUUCGAUCCUCGUUUUAAUUCAUUGUGACCCAUUCCAUAGCUAAGAAUGCAAAUCUAGACUUUGAAUAUUCUAGAUGUUACUUUUAACUUGGAUAAGAUUUCUAGUUGUUCAUGGAUCAAAUUUAUAGCUAUUUUAAUAAAAUCUUGUACAUGUUAGCUUAAUUCGAGAUUUAUAAUAUUCCUAAGAUAAAGGCAAAAAUUUCCAGAAGCAGCCACAUCUUUUCUCUUAGUAAUGAUCUGUCAGAAGUUUGGUUGAAUAAUUAGCAAAAGUCAUGCUUAUCCAAUAUCGUAUUCCAUAAAUCUUUGAACUUCACAAGCCAUCGCAAUUCAGUUUGGUGGCAAAUCAUGAACAUUCGCAAUUUGCUUUAGUUAAGUGAAAUCUUUUAAAAUAAUUUGAGGUGUGUUGUGUCAAAUAAAAUCUCAAAAUGCAUGGCCGUUACUUAUUUGUUCCUUCAAAUCCUUAGAAUUCGAGGCGUGACAUUUAGCGAAUUUCCCAUGGCCCUCGCAAAGUUAAAAAUGUGUAGUUGUUGUAGGCGCUUAAUCUUAUAAUUUAUCUUCCUAAACUUUGGUGAGCAUUUAUGUAACCCCAAUCCAAAUCUCAACAAUGCUAUAUAAAAUGUGUUACGGAUUGUGGAUGACGUAGUUCAAGACUUAUUUUAAAUUACGUUGCAAUUUUUCUUAAAAAUAAUUAAAAGCGGUUAAUAAAAUUAAAAAUACACCUAGGUUUGAACAUGUACUAAAAUAAGAUAAUUAGGCCAAUUAUAACAAUUGAGCAAUCGUGCUAGAACCACGGAACUCAGGAAUGCCUAACACCUUCUCCCUGGUUAACAGAAUUCCUUACUUGGAUUUCUGUAUUCGCGGACUGUAAUACGAAGUUAAUUGUUUCCUCGAUUCGGGAUUUAAAUUGGUGACUUGGGAUACCAUAAAAUUAUCUCAAGUGACGACUCUGAUUUUUAAUUAAAAUAAUCCUAUUUCGAUUGUCACUUUAAGUUGGAAAAAACUCCCGUAUACACCCCCUUUCAGGUGUGUAGGCAAAAAAGAGGUGUGACACCCCACACUUUAAAAUAAUUCAAGUUGGGUUUCCUUCCUUUUUAUUUUUCAUAUGGAAUGGAUUAUGUUCUGCUAUGGGGUACUCCAUUUAGUAUUCGGCUAGCCGUAAGAACGGCUUCACCUCACAAGUUUUGUAGCAAUCCAGAACUUAUCAAUAAUGCGUUCUUCAUCUCCUCUAAUUAACUAUUCUUUCUUUCGCGAUCACAUUGGAUUGGGGCGUGUAAGGGGUCAUUGUGUGAUGAAUAAUUCCAUAUUCUAAACAUAUUGUUUCAAAAGGAGAUUCAUAUUCAUCACCCCUAUCACUUCUUAUCAUUUUUAUUUUCUUGUUAAGUUGUGUUUCAACUUUAUUUUUGUAUUGCUUCAUCAUUACUAUUAAGUAAGUAAACUUAGCAAUAUAGAGUAUUAUUGUCAAUAAAAGUUAUGAAAUACUUCUUUCUACCGCGAGAUGGUAUUAACUUCAUAUCACAAAUAUCUGUGUGAAUUAAGUCUAAAGGAUUUCAUCUUUACUAUUAAGUAAGUAAACUUAGCAAUAUAGAGUAUUAUUGUCAAUAAAAGUUAUGAAAUACUUCUUUCUACCGCGAGAUGGUAUUAACUUCAUAUCACAAAUAUCUGUGUGAAUUAAGUCUAAAGGAUUUGAAUUCCUUUCGACUAACUUAUAAGGAUGUUUAACAUAUUUAGAUUUCACACAUACUUUACAUUUUGAUUUGUCACAUUCAAACUUGGGCAAUACUUCCAAAAUUAAUUAUUUUUUAUAAGGUUUUAUAAUUGACAUGACCCAAAUGUAUAUGUCAUAAUUCAUUUGACUCAAGUAAGUAAGACAACGCUGAAAUUUUAUUAUUAUUUUCAACAAACCACUACAUUCAACUUGAAAAGGCCCUCGGUGAGGUGACCUUUUCCUACAAACAUUUCGUUCGUACUUAUUACAAUCUUAUCGGAUACAAAUAAACAUUUAAAAUCAUUCUUAACAAGAAGUCCAGUAGAGACUAAAUUCUUCCUAAUCUCAGGAAUAUGAAGGACGUUGUUCAAAGUCUCUACUUUGCCGGAAGUCAUUUUGAGAAAUAUCUUCCCAUAUCCUUCAAUCUUGG
rnacentral:lncRNA from 1 species